UACGUAGGGGGCAAGCGUUGUCCGGAUUUAUUGGGCGUAAAGAGCGUGUAGGCGGCCAGGUAGGUCCGUUGUGAAAACUCGAGGCUUAACCUCGAGACGUCGAUGGAAACCAUCUGGCUAGAGUCCGGAAGAGGAGAGUGGAAUUCCUGGUGUAGCGGUGAAAUGCGCAGAUAUCAGGAAGAACACCCGUGGCGAAGGCGGCAUCCUGGACCGGCAUUGACGCUGAUGAGCGAAAGCCAGGGGAGCAAACGGG
rnacentral:rRNA from 1 species